rnacentral:rRNA from 1 species
CUGCACGAAUGGCGUAACGACUUCUCUGCUGUCUCAACCACGAACUCGGCGAAAUUGCAUUACGAGUAAAGAUGCUCGUUACGCGCAGCAGGACGGAAAGACCCCGAGACCUUCACUAUAGUUUGGUAUUGGGCUUCGGUGUGGUUUGUGUAGGAUAGGUGGGAGAUGUUGAAGCCUGGUCGCCAGAUCGGGUGGAGUCGGCAAGUGAAAUACCACUCUGACCAUUCUGGAUUCCUUAACUUCGGACCCUGAUCGGGUUCAGGGACAGUGCCUGAUGGGUAGUUUAACUGGGGCGGUUGCCUCCUAAAGAGUAACGGAGGCGCCCAAAGGUUCCCUCAGCCUGGUUGGCAAUCAGGUGUCGAGUGUAAGUGCACAAGGGAGCUUGACUGUGAGACGGACGUGUCGAGCAGGAGCGAAAGCUGGGACUAGUGACCCGGCCAUGGCUUGUGGAAGCGUGGUCGCUCAACGGAUAAAAGGUACCUCGGGGAUAACAGGCUGAUCUUGCCCAAGAGUCCAUAUCGACGGCAUGGUUUGGCACCUCGAUGUCGGCUCGUCGCAUCCUGGGGCUGGAGUCGGUCCCAAGGGUUGGGCUGUUCGCCCAUUAAAGCGGUACGCGAGCUGGGUUUAGAACGUCGUGAGACAGUUCGGUCCCUAUCCGCUGCGUGCGUAGGAAAUUUGUGGAGGGCUGUCCUUAGUACGAGAGGACCGGGACGGACGAACCUCUGGUGUGCCAGUUGUACCGCCAGGUGCAUGGCUGGUUGGCUACGUUCGGGAAGGAUAACCGCUGAAAGCAUCU